rnacentral:rRNA from 1 species
GAAACUGCGAAUGGCUCAUUAAAUCAGUUAUCGUUUUAUUUUGAUAGUACUUCACUACAUGGACAACUGUGGUAAUUCUAGAGCUAAUACAUGCUAAAAACCCCGACUUCGGGAGGGGUGUAUUUAUUAGAUAAAAAACCAAUGCCCUCCGGGGCUCCUUGGUGAAUCAUAGUAACUCAACGAAUCGCAUGGCCUUGCGCCGGCGAUGGUUCAUUCAAAUUUCUGCCCUAUCAACUUUCGAUGGUAGGAUAGUGGCCUACCAUGGUCUCAACGGGUAACGGGGAAUUAGGGUUCGACUCCGGAGAGGGAGCCUGAGAAACGGCUACCACAUCCAAGGAAGGCAGCAGGCGCGCAAAUUACCCAAUCCCGACACGGAGAGGUAGUGACAAUAAAUACUGAUACAGGGCUCUUUCGGGUCUUGUAAUUGGAAUGAGUACAAUUUAAAUCCCUUAACGAGGAACAAUUGGAGGGCAAGUCUGGUGCCAGCAGCCGCGGUAAUUCCAGCUCCAAUAGCGUAUAUUAAAGUUGUUGCAGUUAAAAAGCUCGUAGUUGAACCUUGGGCCUGGCUGGCCGGUCCGCCUCACCGCGUGUACUGGUCCGGCCGGGCCUUUCCUUCUGGGGAACCGCAUGGCCUUCACUGGCCGUGCCGGGGAACCAGGACUUUUACUUUGAAAAAAUUAGAGUGUUCAAAGCAGGCCUUUGCUCGAAUACAUUAGCAUGGAAUAAUAGAAUAGGACGCGCGGUUCUAUUUUGUUGGUUUCUAGGACCGCCGUAAUGAUUAAUAGGGACAGUCGGGGGCAUCCGUAUUCAAUUGUCAGAGGUGAAAUUCUUGGAUUUAUUGAAGACGAACUACUGCGAAAGCAUUUGCCAAGGAUGUUUUCAUUAAUCAGUGAACGAAAGUUAGGGGAUCGAAGACGAUCAGAUACCGUCGUAGUCUUAACCAUAAACUAUGCCGACUAGGGAUCGGUGGGUGUUAUUAUUUUGACCCCAUCGGCACCUUACGAGAAAUCAAAGUGUUUGGGUUCUGGGGGGAGUAUGGUCGCAAGGCUGAACUUAAA